rnacentral:rRNA from 1 species
GACGAACGCUGGCGGCGUGCCUAAUACAUGCAAGUCGAGCGGACUAAUGGGAGCUUGCUCCCGUUAGUUAGCGGCGGACGGGUGAGUAACACGUGGGCAACCUACCUGUAAGACUGGGAUAACUUCGGGAAACCGGAGCUAAUACCGGAUGACAUAAAGGAACUCCUGUUCCUUUAUUGAAAGAUGGCUUCGGCUAUCACUUACAGAUGGGCCCGCGGCGCAUUAGCUAGUGGGUGAGGUAACGGCUCACCAAGGCGACGAUGCGUGGCCGACCUGAGAGGGUGAUCGGCCACACUGGGACGGAGACACGGCCCAGACUCCUACGGGAGGCAGCAGUAGGGAAUCUUCCGCAAUGGACGAAAGUCUGACGGAGCAACGCCGCGUGAGCGAUGAAGGCCUUCGGGUCGUAAAGCUCUGUUGUUAGGGAAGAAUAAGUGCUAGUUGAAUAAGCUGGCACCUUGACGGUACCUAACCAGAAAGCCACGGCUAACUACGUGCCAGCCGCCGCCGUAA